AAAACUAUGCCCUGAAGUCUCGUUUGUAAGCCAUCCACUUACAACCUGCACAGCCGGUCUGUGUGAGCGGUCUCAGCCCACAGCGUCUGCACAGGUGGGGCCCUCUGUGAUGGGACGCUGAAAGCCCCGGCACGUCUUCACUUCCUUCCCUGGGAGCCAGGUGUUGGCGGUGUGGCUUGAGAAGACGCAAAUGGGCUGAGUCCUUCAGCAUCAGCUGCCUAUGGACUCCCCGGAGAAGCCCCAGACCCACAGAGCACUUUGAAGAAGAAGAGUGGAUCAUCAAUUUGCAGAAGGAAGACUCAGAAUAGGGUGAUGAUAAGGUGAUACCACAUUAACUGACCUUUCUUCUUAUUAAAGCUCACCUCUUUAAGAGAGAACAUUCACAAUGGAAAACAGCAGCAAGGGUUAGAAGACUUUAAAAAGGAAGCUGUUAGUGCAG